AUUGAACGCUGGCGGCAUGCCUUAUACAUGCAAGUCGAACGGUAACGGGCCUUCGGGUGCCGACGAGUGGCGAACGGGUGAGUAAUGUAUCGGAACGUACCUUUCAGUGGGGGAUAACGUAGAGAAAGCUACGCUAAUACCGCAUAUUCUGUGAGCAGGAAAGAAGGGGAUCGCAAGACCUUUCGCUGAUUGAGAGGCCGAUAUCAGAUAAGCUAGUUGGGGAGGUAAAGGCUCACCAAGGCGACGAUCUGUAGCGGGUCUGAGAGGAUGAUCCGCCACACUGGAACUGAGACACGGUCCAGACUCCUACGGGAGGCAGCAGUGGGGAAUUUUGGACAAUGGGGGCAACCCUGAUCCAGCCAUGCCGCGUGAGUGAAGAAGGCCUUCGGGUUGUAAAGCUCUUUCGGCCGGGAAGAAAUCGUAUCAGCUAAUACCUGGUGCGGAUGACGGUACCGGCAUAAGAAGCACCGGCUAACUACGUGCCAGCCGCCGCGGUAAAAC
rnacentral:rRNA from 1 species